rnacentral:rRNA from 1 species
GGGAAGUGAUAAAAAACGUAACAAGGUUUCCGUAGGUGAACCUGCGGAAGGAUCAUUAUUG